GAUGAACGCUGGCGGCGUGCCUAAUACAUGCCAGUCGAGCGAACAGACGAGGAGCUUGCUCCUCUGACGUUAGCGGCGGACGGGUGAGUAACACGUGGAUAACCUACCUAUAAGACUGGGAUAACUUCGGGAAACCGGAGCUAAUACCGGAUAAUAUAUUGAACCGCAUGGUUCAAUAGUGAAAGACGGUUUUGCUGUCACUUAUAGAUGGAUCCGCGCCGCAUUAGCUAGUUGGUAAGGUAACGGCUUACCAAGGCAACGAUGCGUAGCCGACCUGAGAGGGUGAUCGGCCACACUGGAACUGAGACACGGUCCAGACUCCUACGGGAGGCAGCAGUAGGGAAUCUUCCGCAAUGGGCGAAAGCCUGACGGAGCAACGCCGCGUGAGUGAUGAAGGUCUUCGGAUCGUAAAACUCUGUUAUUAGGGAAGAACAAAUGUGUAAUUAACUACGCACGUCUUGACGGUACCUAAUCAGAAAGCCACGGCUAACUACGUG
rnacentral:rRNA from 1 species